CUUAAGCACAAAAAAAAUAGAGAAAAUGGCAAUGUGAAAUAAGCAUAUAAUUUAGCUUCAAGUUAAGCACAGAUCAGUCAACCAACGAAAUAAAACAACCACAAGCCACCAAAUUAUCAAUGAAAAAAUAAAAAAUAAACAUAACAAGGACAAAAAUUCCCAGAAAAUAAAAAUAAAAUGAGAUAAAAAGUAAAAAUCAAAG
rnacentral:misc_RNA from 1 species